rnacentral:lncRNA from 1 species
UUCUCUCUUGCCUCUCUGGUUCCUUUCUCUCCUCCAUUCUUCCAUGGAUUUCCUGAGAAAAUAAAUAGAAUAACGGCACACAGCUUCUAUUCUCUCUUUCUUCUUCAUUUUUCCCCUCUUCCCCUCUUUUAAAGAUUAUUCAAAAAAAUGACACUUAAAACCCACAUUUUUAUUCUCUCUGUUUUUUUCCGUUUUGUCUCCUUCUUAUCCUGAAAUAGGAGAACCUUGAAGAUUUGGUCGAUCUUGUUUGCUCAACUGCUCACGUUUGAUUUUUCUUUUUCCGUUUCUGAUUUUUAUCCAUCCCUUUUCCUCAUAAACUUAUGAUUUUUCCCUCUUUCUGCGCAGAAAAGUUUAUAUUUUCUCUCAGUUAUUUUUCUCUUUAUUUGUAUAUAAUUACCUUGGAGAUCUUUCUUAUCUGAUUUAUUUUCUCUCCGCUGAUCUCGCCAUUUUUUAGUUUUAAAAUUUUCCUUUAUUUUGACUGAUUUUUUCAUGUUUGUUUCAGGGUGCAAGUUUAAGGCUUGCAUGUUAUUAUCUGGUAUCCUCAAUCUCUACAAAACCCGCCAG